UCCGAGUUUCCUCGGCAGUCCCGCUAGAGUAGCUGCCUUGCGGCGAGCAACUAGCGGCAAGGGUUGCGCUCGUUAAAGGACUUAACCCAACAUCUCACGACACGAGCUGACGACAGCCAUGCAGCACCUGUGUAACCGUUUGUAUUACUACAAAACCCAGUAUUUCUACCAGUAGCAGUUACAUGUCAAGUCCAGGUAAGGUUCCUCGCGUAUUGUCGAAUUAAACCACAUGUUCCACCGCUUGUGCGGACCCCCGUCAAUUUCUUUGAGUUUUAAUCUUGCGACCGUACUCCCCAGGCGGAUCACUUAACGCGUUAGCUUCGACACAGACCCUGCUAAGCAAAGCCCAUAUCUAGUGAUCAUCGUUUACGGCGUGGACUAC
rnacentral:misc_RNA from 1 species